rnacentral:rRNA from 1 species
UACGUAGGGUGCGAGCGUUAAUCGGAAUUACUGGGCGUAAAGCGUGCGCAGGCGGUUUUGUAAGCCAGAUGUGAAAUCCCCGGGCUUAACCUGGGAAUGGCAUUUGGGACUGCAAGGCUGGAGUGCGGCAGAGGAGACUGGAAUUUCUGGUGUAGCAGUGAAAUGCGUAGAUAUCAGGAGGAAUACCGAUGGCGAAGGCAGGUCUCUGGGCUGACACUGACGCUCAUGCACGAAAGCGUGGGGAGCAAACAGG